rnacentral:tRNA from 1 species
GGCCAGGUAGCUCAGUUGUUAGAGCGCUGCCCUGAAAAGGCCGGCGUCGGCGGUUCGAUUACGUCCCUGGCCA